UCCUAAUUGUUUAGUGCAUUUCCCUCUUCAUAUUUUUUUUUCUCCAUAUUUCCCUUUUCUUAUAGGAAAAUUGAAACAUAUUUCCCUUCCUCCCCCACCUCAACCUCCCCGAUAACUCUCACUACCACCACCAUGCACACGCCAAUGCCCACUGUUAUGGUUUUUUUUUUUUUUUUUUGCAGGUGUCUGAUUAUGUUUGCGAAUUUGACUGGCCGGAGUCUGGAGAUGCAUGUCGAUUUUGGGCUUUGUUUGUGUUAGUUUUCUUUUGAAUUAGAUUU
rnacentral:lncRNA from 1 species